UACGGGGGGCUGCAGUGGGGAAUAUUGGACAAUGGGCGCAAGCCUGAUCCAGCCAUGCCGCGUGGGCGAUGAAGGCCCUAGGGUUGUAAAGCCCUUUCGGCGGGGAAGAUAAUGACGGUACCCGCAGAAGAAGCCCCGGCUAACUUCGUGCCAGCAGCCGCGGUAAUACGAAGGGGGCUAGCGUUGCUCGGAAUUACUGGGUGUAAAGCGCACGUAGGCGGUCUUUUAAGUCGGGGGUGAGAUCCUGGAGCUCAACUCCAGAACUGCCUUCGAUACUGGAAGACUCGAGUCCGGGAGAGGUGAGUGGAACUGCGAAUGUAGAGGUGAAAUUCGUAGAUAUUCGCAAGAACACCAGUGGCGAAGGCGGCUCACUGGCCCGGUACUGACGCUGAGGUGCGAAAGCGUAGGGAGCAAACAGGAUUAGAUACCCCAGUAGUCAUCUUCUAGA
rnacentral:rRNA from 1 species